GUGUGUGUGUGUGUGUGUGUGUGUGUGUGGAAUCCUGUUGGGCUUUCUCUGUGUGUGUGUGUGUUUAUGUGUGAGGGGGCUGCCUGUGUGAGUGUGGGGCCCUGGCGUGAGUGUGGGGCCGGGUUGCCUGCGGUGCAGAGGCCCUCAGGCCUAGACGAGGAGGUCUUCUCCCACUGAAGAAGUCUGCUGCCCGUGCUCCAGGGCGCCACCUUGUCAGCACUCUCAGCUCUGAUGAAUUGACAGGACGUUUUUCAUGAAAUCACACCUCUUGGCCCCUCUAGUAUUCAAAAAGGCAUAAAAACCAGAGUACCUGAACAACCAGGUACACACACACACACACUGUCAGCAUUUUAGUUUUCCCGUCAGGUUGUGUGUACGUGGCCUGUGUGUUCAUUUUCAUUUUAUGUUUAAUGGUUUCCGUUGACCUGGACUUCAUGGUCACUGUGAGGAUUCUGAUUGGUUGAGUGCUUUUGACUUAAGUUGCGGAGCGAAUCACAAAACAGCCCUUCAGCCUAACUCCUCCCUGCAGCGUCUCCAUGGACACAGCACUGGCAAAAACACCGCAUGCAACCAGAGAGGCUUGCUGUUGUGAAAAAUAGCAUCACACACAUGUGUACACACACACACACGGUCUGUUGACUAUGUCUGGGUGUAGGUCUGUGUGUGUGUGUUCCUUACAGUGUUAAGAACCUACCACACUAUUGUAAUGCAGUCCAUUUCUAUUUUCCAUCCCGUAGAGCUUUUAGCAUUUAGCCUCCAUAGGAGCCGGGAGAGAGAGACACACACGCGCACACGCACACACUGGGAUUAUGAAACCAGGCCUCCUGCUGUCCAAGGCGACUGCUCUCCCUAUUCUCAGUUCUUUUCCUUUGGUUGUUUUUGUUUUUUAUUUUUAAUUUUGAUGAAGUUCCUUUAGCCUAUUAGUUUUCUUUAGUUCCAGCGUUAGGGGGAGGGGGGUGUAGGGGGAAGAGAGGGAUUGUGGGAUGGGUUGUGGAGGACUGGGCACCCUGAUCAGAUCACACUUCCUGUUCGCUGCAUUGAGACUCUUGCUACAGAAAGGCCCAAAUCACAUCUGAGAACAGACAAGGAAAAAGGGUUGGAAAAAUACAAAUGUUUAAUUAUUUUAAAAAAUAAAGAGAUAUUAAAUUAAACCUGUUUUGUGAUAAA